rnacentral:lncRNA from 1 species
CUGGGAUUUUUCAAAUGCCCACCAUGGCUGGUGAGAGGUGAUUUAUGCCUAAAGUAUGAAGCACACAAAUCUUGCAGCAUGAGGAUGCUCUCACUCAUAGCAGUCUUGACUACUGUUCGCAAAUUUACUCCUGAAUCCCUGCAAGUUUGGAAUUUCACAUCUGAUUGUACAACACUGUUACCUGCAGAGCACAGGCCUGAGCUUUUCAUUCCAGGUGUGCAGGCAACACUAUGGCAG